UUCCAUCACUUUCUGUUUAAAACUCUGCUGUUUCUCCAUUGUUCGUACCUUAAAACUGCUCUGUUUCUCCAUCUUCAUGCACAAUCCCUUACUGAAUUAUCAAUGAAUUUCAGAAAGUAAUCACUUCUUUAUAAAAUGAAAUCCUGAUUCUGUGAAUUAGAAAACCCAGAAAUUAUUCCUGCUUCUCCAUGAUCAUACACAAAGAGCCAUUAAAAAAAUCAGCACAUCAUAAUAAGAGAUAACUUCCUUCACACCUGAAAUCUCAAUUCUUAGAUUUCAAAGCCAUGAAAAUCGCAGUAACAUUAUCAAGCAUGAAUCCACAGGCAUCUAAGGACAUCCUAACACUUCCCAUACUUGAAAACCCAAUUCUCAAAACUUACAAGAGACAGUCGCCGGCAAUCUCAAGAAGAAAUUUCGAUUUUUCCAUUUUCUCUCUAUGUCUAAGUGUUAUCCGCAGCAGAUUCCAAAACUCUUUAUCACAAAGAAGCUGGCAAUUAAUCAAACACUAAAAGGAAAAAAAAAAAGAGAUGACAGCUGCAUACAAUCUAUGGACUUCUAAACCAGAGAAUGAAAGUCUAAUACCUGAUAUAGAGCUCAAAAGCAUGGAUUUUGAUAUGAGAAACGAAUUCCCAAACAGUUUCCUCUGAAUUUGAAUACCCAGAAAGUGGUUUUCAGGGAAGCUCAAAUUAAAUCCUAACUUCCCUUUGGUAACCAGAAGCAGACAAUACAGCGGCCAAAUUCAUCAACCACUUUUGGGAUAGUUUUUUGCAUAAGAAGCAAGCAAAUUACAAACUUUUUUUUCUUUUAAAAAAGAAAAUAUUCUUUUCACUAUUUUUCUGCUUUUGUGUUUUAAAUGAGCACACUAACGAUAGUAUCUUUG
rnacentral:misc_RNA from 1 species